AUGGAGCCAACCCAAUGGUGGUUUCAAUUUGGAGGGGAUGUUCAUGCAUUGCAGAAGUGUGCAAUGAGAAUUUGCUCACAAUGUGUCUCAUCAAGUGGGUGUGAGAGGAAUUGGAGCGCCUUUGCUUUGGUGCACACAAAGGAAAGAAAUCGUCUUUUAUAUGACAAGCUCCACAAGCUAGUUUCUGUACGCUACAACCUAAAGAUAUGUGCUGAAGAAGAUCAAGAGAAAGAUAUAGAUAAUGAAGUUGAUCCAAGUGCACUGCUGAUGGACACAACAAUGUUUGAUGAAGAAAAUCCAAUAAUGGAGUGGCUGAAUGAGGAUGAAGAGGAUCCAAUUGUGGAGGGAGCUAAUGAAGCCAGUGCUGUUUUUGAGAAAAUAAGGCGUCUCAACUCGGGCAGGAAGGAUUCUUAUGUUGGUACAAAGGGUAAUAAGAAGAAAAGAAAGAGGAAUCAUGAUGAGGAGAAUGAGUAUGUCGAAACUGAGAGUGAGGAUGACGACGAAGAUAAUGAGUAUGUUGAUAAUGAGAGUGAGGAUGAUGAUGGGGUGAGUGAGGAUGAUGAGGAUGAUCAACAAGAUCAACAAGAGACACAAAUGCAAGUGGAAGAAGAGACACAAGUACAAGCUGAAAAGGAGACAGCAGCAAGUGUUGGCAAUUUGGAGACUCGUAGAUCUGGACGACUAGUUAGGAAGAAGACCAAGGAAGUGAACAGCCUCUACUCGUAG
rnacentral:rRNA from 1 species